rnacentral:rRNA from 1 species
AUUGAACGCUGGCGGAAUGCUUUACACAUGCAAGUCGAACGGCAGCACGGACUUCGGUCUGGUGGCGAGUGGCAAACGGGUGAGCAAUGUAUCGGAACGUGCCCAGUCGUGGGGGAUAACGUAGUGAAAAUUACGCUAAUACCGCAUACGAUCUAUGGAUGAAAGCGGGGGAUCGCAAGAACUCGCGCGAUUGGAGCGGCCGAUAGCAGAUUAGGUAGUUGGUGGGGUAAAGGCCCACCAAGCCAACGAUCUGUAGCUGGUCUGAGAGGACGACCAGCCACACUGGAACUGAGACACGGUCCAGACUCCUACGGGAGGCAGCAGUGGGGAAUUUUGGACAAUGGGCGAAAGCCUGAUCCAGCCAUUCCGCGUGCAGGAUGAAGGCCCUCGGGUUGUAAACUGCUUUUGUACAGAACGAAAAGGUUUCUACUAAUACUAGGAGCUCAUGACGGUACUGUAAGAAUAAGCACCGGCUAACUACGUGCCAGCCGCCGCAGUAA